rnacentral:rRNA from 1 species
ACCUCCCGAAACUAGACGAGCUACUCUAAAACAGCCAAAUAGGGCUAACCCAUCCAUAUUACAAAAUGGUGGAAAGAUUUUAAAGUAGAGGUGACACACCUAUCGAGCCUAGAGAUAGCUGGUUAUUCAAAUAAACGGAUUUAAGUCCAACUUUAAGCUAUUUUAGUAUCACUAAACAACCUAUAAACUUAAAAGCCAUUCAAAUAAGGUACAGCCUAUUUGAAAAAGGAAACAACCUAAAAUAUUGGGUAAUGUCUAAACAAGUGGCCAAGUAGGCCUAAAAGCAGCCAACUUCUAAAAAGCGUCCAAGCCUCACCACAAAUAUCUUUAAUCCCCGCACCUAUACACAACCCACAACCACUACUGAAUGACCCCAUACGCAUAUGGUUAACAAUAUGCUAGAACUAGUAACAAGAAAACGAACUUCUCCAAAAUGUAAGCGUAAGCCAAAAUGAACCCCUCACUGGCACCUACCGCCACAACAGUAUUAACCACACAAGAAAAUCCUACUGCCCUAAGCGCCAACCUUACACUAGA